AAGCACAGACUCUGGCUCAGGACUUGUUUGAAUUUCUCACUUCCUGUGCUGCAGUUUGUUGC
rnacentral:pre_miRNA from 1 species